rnacentral:rRNA from 1 species
UGGCGCACGGGUGCGUAACGCGUAUGCAACCUACCUUAAUCUGGGGGAUAGCCCGAAGAAAUUCGGAUUAACACCGCAUAACAUCAUUGGAUAGCAUUAUCUGAUGAUCAAAUAUUUAUAGGAUUAAGAUGGGCAUGCGUGUCAUUAGCUAGUUGGCGGGGUAACGGCCCACCAAGGCGACGAUGACUAGGGGAUCUGAGAGGAUGACCCCCCACACUGGUACUGAGACACGGACCAGACUCCUACGGGAGGCAGCAGUAAGGAAUAUUGGUCAAUGGAGGCAACUCUGAACCAGCCAUGCCGCGUGCAGGAAGACAGCCCUCUGGGUCGUAAACUGCUUUUAUUCGGGAAUAAACCUACUUACGUGUAAGUAGCUGAAUGUACCGAAGGAAUAAGGAUCGGCUAACUCCGUGCCAGCAGCCGCGGUAAUACGGAGGAUCCAAGCGUUAUCCGGAUUUAUUGGGUUUAAAGGGUGCGUAGGCGGCUUAUUAAGUCAGGGGUGAAAGACGGUGGCUCAACCAUCGCAGUGCCUUUGAUACUGAUAAGCUUGAAUACACUAGAGGUAGGCGGAAUGUGACAAGUAGCGGUGAAAUGCAUAGAUAUGUCACAGAACACCGAUUGCGAAGGCAGCUUACUAUGGUGUCAUUGACGCUGAGGCACGAAAGCGUGGGGAUCAAACAGGAUUAGAUACCCUGGUAGUCCACGCCCUAAACGAUGAAUACUCGCUGUUAGCGAUAUACAGUUAGCGGCUAAGCGAAAGCGUUAAGUAUUCCACCUGGGGAGUACGCCCGCAAGGGUGAAACUCAAAGGAAUUGACGGGGGCCCGCACAAGCG